rnacentral:lncRNA from 1 species
CUAAAAAACGAUAACAAACUAUAACAAACUUCCGUCCUGAGAGAAAAAUAUACAAAAUUCAACUUUUUAUACUGGAUUUCUGAGUAUUUUUGAUAUGUGACUUACAAUAGUAUACAUUGUGACGGUAAGUAAACACUACACAGAGUCAUACACCUUAAAAUAUAAACUCGAAAGUUGAUUUUUCUCUAAUGCUAGAUUGGG